UACGUAGGGGGCAAGCGUUAUCCGGAUUUACUGGGUGUAAAGGGAGCGUAGACGGCUGUGCAAGUCUGGAGUGAAAGGCAUGGGCUCAACCUGUGGACUGCUUUGGAAACUGUGCAGCUUGAGUGUCGGAGAGGCAAGUGGAAUUCCUAGUGUAGCGGUGAAAUGCGUAGAUAUUAGGAGGAACACCGGCGGCGAAGGCGGCCUGCUGGACCGCGACUGACGUUGAGGCUCGAAAGCGUGGGGAGCGAACAGG
rnacentral:rRNA from 1 species